CUCCGUGUGGCUUCUCAGUUCUAGCCCAAACUGUAAAUAAGUUACUUUUCCACCCUCACGCAGGUGUCCUUUUCUCCUGUCUCUGAGCCUGGGCACUCAAGCCAAGGUUAACUGUGGCAGAGAGUUCCCCGGCAGUUUCUAUUCUGGGCCUCAUGCUUUGAGCAUCAUGUUCCCACUCAGGAAGUCACUUAGUGAACCACCGUGCUUUUGCACAAAUCCGGCUCG